rnacentral:antisense_RNA from 1 species
CUUGACCGAGCCGAGCCACAACGGCUGGUCCGCGGCCCGGUCGGCGCCGUAGGUGGCCAGCAACGCCUGCGCCUC